rnacentral:lncRNA from 1 species
AUGGUUCAGGGAAUAAUGACAGAGGUGAAAUUUCCCCUGGAACAUUACACACUGGAAUUGCAGAAUCAUAGAGUUGCACAUAAUGGAUCUCUUUCUAGCAAAGUGGCUUUACUGGAUGAGAAAACGGCCACAGUGACUGCCUUCCAACUGGGCCAAACUGAUCUUGUCUUUGUCCACAAAAAUAUCCACCUGCAAUCUGUUUCUGUACCCCUAAAUCGCACCAUAUAUGUUGUAGAUCCUGGAUUUUUAGGAAAUGAAACUAUAAAAGGAAAAGAGAACCUUUUUUUUUUUGGUACCGGGGAUCGAACUCAGGUCCUUGCGCUUACACAGCAGGCGGCGAAACCACUGAGGUAAAUCCCUGGCCCUGGAAAAGGGAAUCUUAAUGUCCUUAGACCACUGAAACAGUCUGACAGAAACACAUGAAAACUUUGCCUGACACAUUACCAGUGAGCCUAAAUUGUAGCUAGUCCUUGCCUACACAUUCGUGUUUCUUGAUAGGUGAUAUAAGCUAAAUUAAACCAAGAUUUUUUGAUGCUGGGUGUGAUGGCACAACCCUGUAAUCCCAG